GACGAACGCUGGCGGCGUGCCUAAUACAUGCAAGUCGAGCGAGCUUGCCUAGAUGAAUUUGGUGCUUGCACCAAAUGAAACUAGAUACAAGCGAGCGGCGGACGGGUGAGUAACACGUGGGUAACCUGCCCAAGAGACUAGGAUAACACCUGGAAACAGAUGCUAAUACCGGAUAACAACACUAGACGCAUGUCUAGAGUUUAAAAGAUGGUUCUGCUAUCACUCUUGGAUGGACCUGCGGUGCAUUAGCUAGUUGGUAAGGUAACGGCUUACCAAGGCAAUGAUGCAUAGCCGAGUUGAGAGACUGAUCGGCCACAUUGGGACUGAGACACGGCCCAAACUCCUACGGGAGGCAGCAGUAGGGAAUCUUCCACAAUGGACGCAAGUCUGAUGGAGCAACGCCGCGUGAGUGAAGAAGGGUUUCGGCUCGUAAAGCUCUGUUGGUAGUGAAGAAAGAUAGAGGUAGUAACUGGCCUUUAUUUGACGGUAAUUACUUAGAAAGUCACGGCUAACUACGUGCCAGCAGCCGCGGUAAUACGUAGGUGGCAAGCGUUGUCCGGAUUUAUUGGGCGUAAAGCGAGUGCGGGCGGUUCAAUAAGUCUGAUGUGAAAGCCUUCGGCUCAACCGGAGAAUUGCAUCAGAAACUGUUGAACUUGAGUGCAGAAGAGGAGAGUGGAACUCCAUGUGUAGCGGUGGAAUGCGUAGAUAUAUGGAAGAACACCAGUGGCGAAGGCGGCUCUCUGGUCUGCAACUGACGCUGAGGCUCGAAAGCAUGGGUAGCGAACAGG
rnacentral:rRNA from 1 species